GUGCUCCUUUGGCAGCAUAUAUACUAGAUUUGGAACCAUACAGAGAAGACUAGUAUGGCCCCUGUGUAAGGAUAACAUACAAAUUCGUGAAGCAUUCCACAUUGUU
ensembl:snRNA U6 U6 spliceosomal RNA